GAUGAACGCUAGCGAUAGGCUUAACACAUGCAAGUCGAGGGGCAGCAUGGUCUUAGCUUGCUAAGACUGAUGGCGACCGGCGCACGGGUGCGUAACGCGUAUGCAACUUGCCUCACAGAGGGGGAUAACCCGUCGAAAGACGGACUAAUACCGCGUACACUCCAUCUUGGGCAUCCAAGGUAGAGGAAAUGAAAUUCGCUGUGAGAUAGGCAUGCGUCCCAUUAGCUAGUUGGUGAGGUAACGGCUCACCAAGGCGACGAUGGGUAGGGGAACUGAGAGGUUGAACCCCCACACUGGUACUGAGACACGGACCAGACUCCUACGGGAGGCAGCAGUGAGGAAUAUUGGUCAAUGGGCGAGAGCCUGAACCAGCCAAGUCGCGUGAAGGAUGACUGUCUUAUGGAUUGUAAACUUCUUUUAUACGGGAAUAACAAGAGUCACGGGUGACUCCCUGCAUGUACCGUAUGAAUAAGCAGCGGCUAACUCCGUG
rnacentral:rRNA from 1 species